AAAUUGGGGGGAAUAAAUAAAAAAUGAAAUGUGACCUGUGGCGUACUUAUAUUUAUAUGGCUUUUUCCAGUACGUUAAACAUAUUUUCAUCACCAAAACCUGUAAUUUGACUGGAGAUUUUCAAACAUUUGCAGACAACUUUGAUAGACAGACAGACAUAAAAAGAAAUUGAGUUACAGCAGCUAUGUGAGGGCUUUUAAGGGGUGUAUAUUGUAAGCCUGUUUAGUCAAAGGCUUGUGUGUUUGUGGCACCUCACCACUGUUCUCAAGUUCAGUAUGCAAGCUUUUUAUAAUAUAUCUGGCUUCAGAAGGUCAAGGCAACCCUAAAGCUUUUGUAUUGGUCUGUUUUGGUCAGGUCCUAAUAAAACUGCGAGGAGUCUGCUGAGUCACUGAUGUUCUGGUUUGGUGACCCUGCACCGAGGACACUGCAACUUUGCAAGCACUUCAACAGCAAGUCUUUGCGAAGACCGGAAAUGUCCAGACCAGCGCUACCCCAACAUGGAGCCAAAGAUGGUGUAACCUGGGAGGUCAUGACACAUGGAGUUUGCCCCCCAUUGCAGCGCAGCCCACGACAGACACCACACUAUAUUACCUCGACACAAUUGGGUCGUGGUGUGUUAGCGAGAAUAGUCCCAUCAACCAAACAGUUUUCCAGCGUCCUGUGACCCCUGAUGAAGGACUAGAGGAUGACCAACACAAACUGUGCAGCAGCAGAUGAGCUGUCGUUUCUGACUUUACAUCUACAAGGUGGACCGACAAGGUAGGAGUGUCUAAGAGAGUGGACAGUGAGUGGACACAGUUUUAAAAAACUGCUGUGUCUGAUCCACUCGUACCAGCGCAACACACACUUACACGCCACCACCACGUCAACAUCCCUGCAGUGCUGAGAAUGAUCCACCACCCAAGUGAUAUCUGCUCUGUAGUGGUCCUGAAUGUAGAAGGACAAGAUUAAACAGGGAUAACAAAAUAUACAGAAAAACACAUGAGUACUUUCUGUAACUGCAGAACUACAAACAACAUCUUUAUGAUAAAUGGACCUGAUAAAGUGGAAUGAGUUUAGAUACAAACUAGGUGUACUUGGCUGUUUGGUGUGCAUGUCUGCCCAUUAAGCCCUGUCCACACGGAUGCACUCAAAAAACAAAAUAUAUAUGCCUCUGACUAGACACAUCAGUGUGUUGACAUAUCUCUGUGUCCGCUUACAGACGACACUUUUUGUGUUACUUUUAUCACAGAACGUGUUAUAACUGAAAUCUAUGUGACACAAAAGGUGUUAAGACAGGUAACAAACCAC
ensembl:lncRNA